AAAUUGUUAGAGACAGAGUGUCCCCAGUACACGAAGGAAAAGAAUGCAGACGCCUGGUUCAAAGAGUUGGACUUCACUGCAGAUGGUGCCAUUAACUUCGAGGAGUUCCUCAUCCUGGUGAUCAAGGUGGCCCUGGCAGCCCACGAAGCAAGCCACCAGGAGUAGCAGCGCUAUGACCCGUGGGGCUGGCCCUUGGACUUGUCCCUGCACAACAAUAAAGUAGCUGAUGCCUCAGGA